GUGCAGUGCUUUCCCCGUGAUAGGCCUGGUUUUGUAGGAAUUAAAGUGGUACAGUAUCAAGAUUCUGUUGGUAUUUGCUGAAAUCUCAUUAGCAUCCAAGCCAGAGAAAGGGGUUUCACCCUGUGAAACAUGCUCCUCCAGAUCCUGCCUAAGGAUUUUAUUCAAGAGCAGCCGAGGCACAUGGGCACCCUACACCCGCCGAGGCUGACCUGGGUAAUCUUGAGCUCCUUUUUGUUCACGAGAUUCGGUGUUCUUUCUCACGUUGCCACAGUUUUGCCAGCUCAUGUCCCAAUGCAGGCUGAAGGGGCACAGCCGGUUGAAGUCCCUGUCUGAAAAAGGAGCUCGAUCCUGGCAGAAGGGUGAGUGGCCACCCUUUGCUGAUACUUGUUCUGAUCCAAGUCCAAGGUUGUCUGUCCACAUCCUGGAAAGAGCAAGUUGAACAAGAGGACCGGGAGUCACUGGAGGCUGAUAUGGAGCCUUCUAGAAGGGAGUGACUCCUGAGGAAUUGGAGCCAGGCCCACCAGGUGGUUUUAUCCAGUCUUUCUGAUACUUCUCAUGCCCAGAUCAUGAGAUCCUGUGUUCUUCACAGCAGAAAAGAAAUCACACAAUCAUGACAAGGGCUCUGGAGGGUCAAUUCACGCAUGCGUACACUACACGGACCACCACUGCCUCAUAUCUAGUUGGGGAAAGAGAACAAAAAGUCUUAUUUCUUUUUCUUAAUUUAAACCCAAGCUGCCAGAAAGCCUCUGUAAGUAGGACAGCCAUGAGCCCCCACUGUCCCAGAAGAGUUCGUUCGUCUUCAGCCUUCACAUAGGUCAAACACGGACCAAACAAAAUCGAGAAAAAGAAAGUCUAAUUUGAUUUUUGCUCAGUGCUUAAUUUUUUACCAUACCACCCCAGUGAUAUUUAUAAAAUUCAGUAGCAUGAAUGCUUCUCUGUAGUAAUACUAAUUUUGUGCCUUUUGUCCGCUUUCUUAAGACCAACUGUUGAUACUUUGUAGACAUUAGACAAAUAUAUUUCGAUUAAAUACU
rnacentral:lncRNA from 1 species